AUGCAAGGAACCCAUG
rnacentral:rRNA from 1 species